UAGAGUGACAUGAUCAGUAAGUGAAAAGGCAGAUUCUUAGCACAGGUGAUUCUAAUGUGACACCUUGUGCUCAUAACUACCUGCUAUAUUGUCUUCUAGGUGGUGCAGUGUGGGGUGCCCAGAACUAUUCCCAAGCCAUGCCAUGUAAUACUACCAACUGGUCUGUGAAGCAGAGGGUCUUGAAGAGACAGUUUCCACAUCCCCUCUAAUUUGGAGUUGGGGCACUGCUUGGAAGUUAUGCCUUGCUUGGAGGACGUGUCAUGUUGUGUUGGAGAUAAGAAGAGGCGGGGCUCAUCAAUCAGCAGUUUUCCGUGUGCUAAUCCUCACCCCAGUUAGCUGAUUUGGCCCUCUGGAUUCUGACCACUGCCAUGGUCAAUCACGCAGCUGCUCUAUUCAGCCUCAUCAUCUCUCUAUUCUUACAGAUUAUUGCAUCAUGGCCGCCAAGACAAAAAGAAAGAGAAAGGGGAUCAAAAUCAUCAAAAUCAUGUGUCCUGAAAGAAACAACCUGAUCAGAAUUUUUCUCACUUAAUUGACAUCGUGUAAAAGACUAUAUUUACUACUUGGAAAUCAAAUGCAUACCAUGAUAAGAAAUCGGAAGUUGUAUGUUGCUGUUUUGUGUCCUCUCACUGCUAACGAUAACUCUGCUCUGGACCAGACGGCAUCGUGUGCAUUUAUUGUAUCGUUUCCUGGGCCUGGGCCCAAAGGAAGACAUUUCCUAGUCUUCUUUGUGGUAAGGUGAACAGUGAGACUGAGUUCUGAUCAACAGGAUGUAAAUGGAGGUGACGCACUUUGGCAGAGACCAUAGAUGACACUUUUUGAGAAGGCAAAACAGUAAGAUGGAAGCAACCUGGAUCCUUGAACAAACGUGUCUCAAGAGUCACCCUGACUUACUUCAGAAAUUGGUGUGAGAAAUAAAUCUUGUGGUAUAAAACCA
rnacentral:lncRNA from 1 species